AAUAAUUUUUCGCUCUGAGUUCUUUGGCCUAAGUCUUUUAAAGAUAAGGCUGAUGGACCGGUUCGGGGUAUCAAGGAAACGCGAUACCCUCCUGUGGAAGUUUUGGAAAGGAGCUGAUGACGGAUUCUC
rnacentral:ncRNA from 2 species